rnacentral:rRNA from 1 species
GACGAACCGUCCUAACGUUAUUCGGAAUCACUGGGCUUAAAGGGCGCGUAGGCGGCCCUGCAAGUCGGGGGUGAAAUCCCACAGCUUAACUGUGGAAGUGCCUCCGAUACUGCGGGGCUCGAGCGAGGUAGGGGCAGCUGGAACUUCCGGUGGAGCGGUGAAAUGCGUUGAUAUCGGAAGGAACGCCGGUGGCGAAAGCGAGCUGCUGGACCUCUUCUGACGCUGAGGCGCGAAAGCCAGGGGAGCAAACGGG